UGGAUCCAGACUUUGAUUCUGGCUCAGGAUGAACGCUAGCUACAGGCUUAACACAUGCAAGUCGAGGGGAAACGAUAGAGAAAGCUUGCUUUUUCUAGGCGUCGACCGGCGCACGGGUGAGUAACGCGUAUCCAACCUGCCCACCACUUGGGGAUAACCUUGCGAAAGUAAGACUAAUACCCAAUGAUAUCUCAAGAAGACAUCUGAAUGAGAUUAAAGAUUCAUCGGUGAUGGAUGGGGAUGCGUCUGAUUAGCUUGUUGGCGGGGUAACGGCCCACCAAGGCUACGAUCAGUAGGGGUUCUGAGAGGAAGGUCCCCCACAUUGGAACUGAGACACGGUCCAAACUCCCACGGGAGGCAGCAGUGAGGAAUAUUGGUCAAUGGGCGAGAGCCUGAACCAGCCAAGUAGCGUGCAGGAUGACGGCCCUAUGGGUUGUAAACUGCUUUUAUAAGGGAAUAAAGUGAGCCUCGUGAGGCUUUUUGCAUGUACCUUAUGAAUAAGGACCGGCUAAUUCCGUGCCAGCAGCCGCGGUAAUACGGAAGGUCCGGGCGUUAUCCGGAUUUAUUGGGUUUAAAGGGAGCGUAGGCCGGAGAUUAAGCGUGUUGUGAAAUGUAGACGCUCAACGUCUGCACUGCAGCGCGAACUGGUUUCCUUGGGUACGCACAAAGUGGGCGGAAUUCGUGGUGUAGCGGUGAAGUGCUUAGAUAUCACGAAGAACUCCGAUUGCGAAGGCAGCUCACUGGAGCGCAACUGACGCUGAAGCUCGAAAGUGCGGGUAUCGAACAGGAUUAGAUACCCUGGUAGUCCGCACGGUAAACGAUGGAUGCCCGCUGUUGGUCUGAAUAGGUCAGCGGCCAAGCGAAAGCAUUAAGCAUCCCACCUGGGGAGUACGCCGGCAACGGUGCAACUCAAAUGAAUUGACGGA
rnacentral:rRNA from 2 species